GCUCCAUCAUAUUUUGAGUUGGGAUGGUGUAGCCGAGCUUGUUUCUGCAUAAGCGCCCUGAGUGCAAGGCCCUCACAUUUGGUGCCAUAAACUAAUUCGAAUGAAGUAAACCUGGUGGACCCAAUUGGGUGAAUCCCACGAGCCUUCAGCCGAUAUCUGGACUUCCAGAAGAUAAAACAGAAGGACUUGGCCACACUUUUCAAUUCAGCACCAGCCUUUUGGUCCUGAGGAGAGCUCUCAGGACUUCCCUCUCUACCAUUGGUGCUCACUCUCCCACCUCAAUCCUUUCCAGUUGGUUGUGUGGAGGAUUUCUUCAGGAACAAGGGUUUUGUGGUUCAGCUCAGCAGCCAAUGACGCUGCCUGCUUGGACCCAGACACCCCAAGGAGCAUUCUUAUUCGGAAGGGGAUGGGAGGACAAUUAGUCCAAGAAGACUUUUGUCAGUUGCCUCUGCCUUAAGUCCCCGUGCCCACUGGCCAUACGCUUGAGCUGUUCAAAUUCCAGCUAUUUCUCACCAGGCCAUUUCAUGAGGUUAUGAAUUUUUGAUGAUAAGUCUCAGGCACUGACUGGUGUGCUCUUUAAAUAGACAUUUUUACUGCCUCAGUAUCAGUGGCUCAGGCAAGAGGGAGCUUUCCCCAAGCGCUUACCCUGCAGUAGAAAGGGCCAAUACUGGACUGCCACUUUAACAGCUGUGCCACUUUAACAGCUGUGCCACAUGCUUGAUGGAGCUAAAGAAAGCUUUUACCUCUGCAUCCUCAAAUUUAGGAAUUAAAUGAGUUAACCAAAUUUCCUCUGCCCUUAAGUCUGAGCGAAUAAUGUGUUCAUGGGACAUAGUAGAGUUCUUGCUCCUCAGCUUGAACUAUCUGAGUUCAAACUCCUUUCCUGCUAUUUUCCUGAAAUUCUCUAUUUCCCUCCUUGCUUUUUUCUCCCUUUCUCUCUGUUUGCCAUUCCUUUUUUGCGUAAAGUGCUAAUUUCCACCACUCAAAUUUUAAUCUCUCUUCCACUACACACCUUAGUAUCAGUGGCUCAGGCUUCACUUUCCUCAGUUUCCAGUUGAAAACCAUUGGGUAAGCACUUUUAAACUUUUGGGCUCUCUGGCUAUUGGCAAAAUUCUAAUUCCAAAACUCUCACUAAAUCUUUUAACUGUUCAAGGGACAGAACAUUUAUAUCCUCAAAAGUAACUUCCCCUAAUUCUGCCAGGAAUGUGCUGACAUUGAACAUGGAUGUCUCUGCUCUGUAUCAAAGCCUCAAGAAAGCCCUUUGCAGAUUUGUUCUUUAAAAUCAAAUUUAAGUGGAUAAAUUUACCCACUCUAAUUCUUGUGGUUUCAUAAAAUCACAGCACAGCUUCACAAUAUAGGACCAUCCUGCAGACAGAGCUGUCUCACAGAAGGUCGAGGCUGGCUGGGGACAUACACUUGUUGCUGCUGCAUUGACUGAAACAACCAGGAAAUAAUUAUAUGGAGACCAGGCCUCUGUCCUGAGCAGAAUGGUAAUAAUGUGGUGCUUUAAUAUUAACUGGUGAACCCUUAGUUUGUGUCAAAUUUCACUUAUGCUGUAUUAAAUAUAACCACUGUAACUAGAAAGGAUGAAUUAUUUUAUGAACGAUUAAAGGUUAAUUGACCAUUCGGCUAA